GAUGAACGCUGGCGGCGUGCCUAAUACAUGCAAGUCGAGCGAACGGACGAGAAGCUUGCUUCUCUGAUGUUAGCGGCGGACGGGUGAGUAACACGUGGAUAACCUACCUAUAAGACUGGGAUAACUUCGGGAAACCGGAGCUAAUACCGGAUAAUAUUUUGAACCGCAUGGUUCAAAAGUGAAAGACGGUCUUGCUGUCACUUAUAGAUGGAUCCGCGCUGCAUUAGCUAGUUGGUAAGGUAACGGCUUACCAAGGCAACGAUGCAUAGCCGACCUGAGAGGGUGAUCGGCCACACUGGAACUGAGACACGGUCCAGACUCCUACGGAAGGCAGCAGUAGGGAAUCUUCCGCAAAGGGCGAAAGCCUGACGGAGCAACGCCGCGUGAGUGAUGAAGGUCUUCGGAUCGUAAAACUCUGUUAUUAGGGAAGAACAUAUGUGUAAGUAACUGUGCACAUCUUGACGGUACCUAAUCAGAAAGCCACGGCUAACUACGUG
rnacentral:rRNA from 1 species